CUCAAGAACGAAAUGGCUUCCCGCUGGAGCUGUGACGGAGCGUCGCCAGCCGGCCAGCCCGCAGUCCAGGAAAGCGUCUCCGCGCUCUCUAUUGAUGCCUAGCGACAGGGAUGCCGCCCAUACACCCACAAGCCUUCCUUCGUCAUUCUCUCCACCAAGACGUGUCUGCCUAACACUGUACAGUGAGGUGAGCACAGAUGGAAGCCUCUGGAACCAUGAGCAAAAGUCAAGCAAGGUGCUUCUUCCUUGAAUUGGCAAGAAGCAGCUGGCCCCCUGGGAGAGCAGACGGCGGCUUCCACUGACACCCUCCAGGGCCUGGUGCUGCAGGCGUGGUGCUCGGGCUCCUCCUGGACUCCCCUGAAGACAGAAGAAAGGCAGCUGUCAGUGGAGAAGACCAGACCCCUCCCUCCA